GACGUAGGGCGCGAGCGUUGUCCGGAAUUAUUGGGCGUAAAGAGCUCGUAGGCGGCUUGUCGCGUCUGCCGUGAAAACUCGGGGCUCAACCCCGAGCUUGCAGUGGGUACGGGCAGACUAGAGUGCGGUAGGGGAGACUGGAAUUCCUGGUGUAGCGGUGGAAUGCGCAGAUAUCAGGAGGAACACCGGUGGCGAAGGCGGGUCUCUGGGCCGUAACUGACACUGAGGAGCGAAAGCAUGGGGAGCGAACAGG
rnacentral:rRNA from 1 species